rnacentral:rRNA from 1 species
AUUGAACGCUGGCGGCAGGCCUAACACAUGCAAGUCGAACGAGUGGCGGACGGGUGAGUAAUGUCUGGGAAACUGCCCGAUGGAGGGGGAUAACUACUGGAAACAGUAGCUAAUACCGCAUACCAUCGGAUGUGCCCAGAUGGGAUUAGCUAGUAGGUGGGGUAACGGCUCACCUAGGCGACGAUCCCUAGCUGGUCUGAGAGGAUGACCAGCCAAACGGGAACGGAGAACCGGCCCAGACUCCUAGGGGGGGAAGCGGUGGGGAUAAUGGCACAUGGGGCGCAAGCUUGAGGCAGCCAGGCCGGGUGUAUGAAGAAGGCCUUCGGUUUGAAAAGUACUUUCGGCGAGGAGGCGUUACUCGCAGAAGAAGCACCGGCUAACUCCGUGCCAGCAGCGCGGUAAUAC